rnacentral:rRNA from 1 species
GACGAACGCUGGCGGCGUGCCUAAUACAUGCAAGUCGAACGCAGUGGGGACGGGUGAGUAACACGUGGGUAACCUCCCAUCAGAGGGGAUACCACUUGGAAACAGGUGCUAAACCGAUACUGAUGGAUGGAACCGCGGUUCAUUUGCUAGUUGGUGAGGUAACGGCUCACCAAGGCCACGAUGCAUAACCGACCUGCGAGGGUGAACGGCCAAACGGGGACUGAGACACGGCCCAGACUCCCACGGGAGGCAGCAGUAGGUAAGCUUCGGCAAUGGACGAAAGUCUGACCGAGCAACGCCGCGUGAGUGAAGAAGGUUGUCGGAUCGUAAAACUCUGUUGUUAGAUAAGCGGUAUCUAACCAGAAAGCCACGGCUAACUACGUGCCAGCCGCCGCGGUAAUAC